GAGCACUGUUCGUGACCUAUUAGUCUGCCGUGGCUCAUGGGUUCCAUUCCAGUGCGAAAGAAAGUCCAACGACCCAUUUCUGACUGACUCGAUCAGGCUUUCAGACUAAGGUCUUGGAGACAGCA